rnacentral:piRNA from 1 species
UGGGUUAUCCUUAGUAAAACUAUCAGAGACA